rnacentral:rRNA from 1 species
AGCGCAGGUGGUUUCUUAAGUCUGAUGUAAAAGGCAGUGGCUCAACCAUUGUGUGCAUUGGAAACUGGGAGACUUGAGUGCAGGAGAGGAGAGUGGAAUUCCAUGUGUAGCGGUGAAAUGCGUAGAUAUAUGGAGGAACACCGGAGGCGAAAGCGGCUCUCUGGCCUGUAACUGACACUGAGGUUCGAAAGCGUGGGAGCAAACA